UUAAAUAUUAAUUAAUGUAAUCGUUUAAAAUGUUGACUACCGAAAUCUGUCGAAUAUGUUUGAAUAAAAAUGUUCCUAUGUUUAUGCUGAAGAAUUCAUUACAAAAUUUAUACGAAACAUUAACAAAUGGCUAUAUUCAUUCUGUUGAUAAGCCGGUAUUAGCUUGUUUCAUUUGUUAUGCGAUAAUAAAGAGGUGUAGAAAAUUACAACAACAAGCAAUUAAGUCUAAUGAACUUUUAGAAAAGAUAUGUGAUGGAGAUGAGCUUUUCCAGUUGAUUGAAUCUCAGAAAAAUCAACAAGAAUAUUUUCAAUUCACACCUAUUUAUCAUUUACAAUUAGAACCAGGAAAUGAAGGGGUAGAUUAUAAAUCAAAGAUUAAUUUUAUACCAACUUUAAUUAAAAAUGAAACGGACAAUAGAGUUGAAGAGGACGGAAUUGAUA